rnacentral:ncRNA from 2 species
UUCUUAUCUAGAGUCGGGGGAGGAACCUGGUCCCGUGAUCCCGCAGCAACCGUUACAUGUAACAAGGUGCUAAAUCCAGCAAGCGUAAAGCUUGAAAGAUGAGAU